AUUGAACGCUGGCGGAAUGCUUUACACAUGCAAGUCGAACGGCAGCACGGACUUCGGUCUGGUGGCGAGUGGCGAACGGGUGAGUAAUAUAUCGGAACGUGCCCAGUCGUGGGGGAUAACGUAGUGAAAAUUACGCUAAUACCGCAUACGAUCUACGGAUGAAAGCGGGGGAUCGCAAGACCUCGCGCGAUUGGAGCGGCCGAUAUCAGAUUAGGUAGUUGGUGAGGUAAAGGCUCACCAAGCCAACGAUCUGUAGCUGGUCUGAGAGGACGACCAGCCACACUGGAACUGAGACACGGUCCAGACUCCUACGGGAGGCAGCAGUGGGGAAUUUUGGACAAUGGACGCAAGUCUGAUCCAGCCAUUCCGCGUGCAGGACGAAGGCCUUCGGGUUGUAAACUGCUUUUGUACAGAACGAAAAGGUUUCUAUUAAUACUAGGAGCUCAUGACGGUACUGUAAGAAUAAGCACCGGCUAACUACG
rnacentral:rRNA from 1 species